UGAACCGCUUCCUUUUGUAGGCGCUGGUUUAUAUACGCCGGCUAGCACUUUCCCUGGACGGUUCUACUGAGUAGUAUGGAGUCGCUUCUAAAGAACUUCUCACUCAAUUAAUCGGAAAACUAAACUCGUAAAAAAGUUAAUUAGUUAAUUGAAAAACACAUAAGGACAUAGUAUGCAGCCAGGAGGACGUGUAGUCGAUAAUUGGGUAUCGGAUCGGAUACUACAAGCCCGUCGUCGGCAGUAUACUUAACCGAGCAGAGUGCCUACAUUGAAUCGAACAUGAACAUAAUCGCGACACCUUGUCAUAUAUCAGAGAACGUGUAUUACCUUCACCUCAGAUUACAUGAGUGCGGAACUUGUUUUUGUUGGACAAUUGCGGUUAGAAGAUCGAGAUUUUGGAGAAGAUAAGGCGAAGAUAUUUUCAAACGGUCGACAAGUACUUGCUUGCUAAGAAUAAUAAGAAAGAAGUUGGUUGGGUAAUAAUAAUAUUGAAAAAGAAGUCACGAACCCCGAUAGAAGGCACGCGCCUUUCUUUUCUUCGAGAUUUUGGGAUUAGGCCGAAGAUCGCUGGUGAAACUAUUUGCAAGAGCCUCCAAGCUGUUUGCAGGUGCAACUCAGGCUACCAGGAAGACUAAAAAAAAGAGGAUGGACAAAGAAUAUAGGGACAAAUUACCUGUUCUUAACACUCUAAAGGUAAUCGUGAUUAGUAUUGUCUUUAUCGGUACGUGCCGAACAGAGAUCGCUGAUACUGCAGGUGCCGGGUUUUCCGUUUUCGGUUGUCACUAUUAUGUAGGAUGGAACGGAAGUUUGAUGUUGGGAAAAUGGGUGACGUGGCGAAAUUACGAGUCAGGGAGUUGCUCAAUUUAAUAGACGGCUUUCAGUGACUAUUAGUGGUGUGUAAUCAUAGAUGAGUUUUUGAGGACUGGAAUUAUGGUUGGAGAUCCUUCGGAGAUAAACGCUUUUAUUGGUGAGGAUUCAUCCAGUAGAAUCCUUCGGCCUUGGGGCCCUUUUUUGCCACAUUGUUGUAAUGGGUUAGACGCACAUCAUGAAUUUUAAAUGAUAUCAGCUCACGGCGACGCAUUAUUUCAUACAUCAAAUGUUACUUCCCAAGUCUACUGAAGUUACGGCGGCUAACAUUCCAAAUUACACACUGAUAGAAGGAUUUGUUUAUAGUUAAAAAGAUUUGUUAAUAUUUAACAAAUCAUUUAUU